rnacentral:sRNA from 1 species
UGACAUUGUCACUGAUUCCUAACUAUGUAACCACUAAUUCUAAAAAACAUCCCAUUCACCAGAAUCAUCCCCUAUUGAAAAUCAGCCACGUCUCUACUUAAUUCCCCCCGGAUCGCCCGAAUCAUUUCUCUUUCAUUGUCCUCAUCCUCAGCUAUCUUCUCACCAACCACAUCACUGAACUUGUGAAUUGGAGUUUGUGGAUUAGCCAUGGUCUGGAAGGCACUGCCAUCAACCAUAUGAUGUUUGAGAGUUGAGGUUUCAGGGUGAUUCAGCACCAUGCAUUUGAAAGUCUAUGCAAUUGUUAAUAUCUGAAUAAAUCUGGGAAUGAUUUCACUGACUCUCACUUACUGAUUCAGUUAUAUUUUCAAACAUCCAGGGGCUCAGAGCACCCACUGGGGUUGGAAGAUUUGAGAAGAAGAGGAGAGAAUUGAUGGCAGAGGUGGCAGUGAGCUUAUCAUCAUCAUUGUCACUGUCAUUGAAUUCAUUGUUGCUCAUUUCAACUUUUGCAAAUUUGAUG